UUUACAGUAAAAUUUUGCAUGCUUCCCUAUAGUGUGCAGAGAUUUUUUUUAAAAUAACAUUUUGUUUGUUUCUAUAACUGAAGAAUCCCAAAUGUCACCAGAAGAAUGGAAUUGACACUUCUGAUGAGCUAAAAAAUAAACACCAAGGAGAAAAUCUGCAAGAUUAUUAAAAUUGAAAGAGACAGAGGAAAAGCCAGAAAAGCCAGAAAAGAAAAAGGCACCUGCCAAGAAAGAUGUGAAAAAACCAGCAAAGGCUAAGCCAGAGGAGAAGAAAGAAGAACCUCAGGCAGAGACAGAAGAGGCUCCAGCAGAAAACGGGGAGGCCAAAGCUGAGGAGACCACAGCUGCAGAGGAACAGGCGAACGGCACAGAGGAACAGCCAGACGGUGAAGAGGAACAGCCGAAUGGCGAAGAGGAAAAAGAAGCAGAGUAGAAGCGAUACCUCUGAACUCAUUUGCCAAUGCUCCCUGUACCUCCUUUGUUGUAAAAUGCAGAGAAUAUUUUUAUCUACUAUUUUCUUAUGACAACAAUGUUUUUAGGGAUGUGAUUGCAUUUUUUUCCUAAAUACUACAACUUCCAUUCACUCUCAUGACUUGUGUGAAGGGAAGGUCUCUGUCAUUAUGUUCUUUUGGUCAUUUUGUUGUUAGAUUGUAGUUUUGUUUUGUUUUUUUCUGCAUGGCAUGCAAUAAUGCCUUCAUCAGGAAUGGGAGAGUUUACCUGAAACAUUCCCAAAGAAUUUUAAGAGAUUUUGUAACCUGUACUGUGUUGAAUACACAUCAAAAUACUGUUUGUUUGAUAAUGGGAUGAUUUGAAAGUUUGAAGCUUGUAUUCUAUGCUUUAACAAAAUGCCUUGUUCACAAUGUUCACUUUCAUCAUUUUCACAAGGAGUCCGGGAGUUGGUUUUCACUUUAAGGUACAAUUGAGAACGGUUAAAUUAAUCAAUGUUCUAAGCUAUGCUCAAAACAAAAAUGCAUUACAGUUAGUCAUAUUUGAUAUGGUUUUGGGAUUUGUCUACCAAUGUACAGUUUCCUCCUUUAAAAAAAAAAAAAAUGUUUUCUUUGUUUUGGAUGGUAUGAAAUGCCAAUUAAAGUGGGGAAUUUCUUUUAAGUAUUUGUCUUUCAUCAGCUAUAUUGUAUUUAAGUCUGCCUGCAUUGAUCCAUUUACCAGGACAGAUUGCAGAUGUUUCUUUUCUGUUGCCUGGAAUGACGUACUGCUGCUCUUUUUGAUUCACUUUAGUGAGAUUUAGAUAAUAGGAAAAGAAUCCUUGAACUAAUGCCAAUUACUCUGAAUGUUGCAUUUCUCAUUUUGCUUUAUAAGAGAGCUAGUGAAGAGUCUGGCAUAUGGGGUUGAUACAUUUUUGAAAAGGUUGUUGCAUGUGCAUAUUGAACUUUGAUAAAAGAAUAUGGCCAGAUUAUUGUGCUAGGAUCAAGGCUGUGCAAAAGAAAAAAAAAAUGCCACUGAGCACUCACUGUGCUCUCCGGAUAUUAUAGUCCAGAAUGCUAUCUGGCUCUACAUUGUCUAUGCCUUUAAAACUGAUCAAGAACAUGCAUCAUGUAAGAAUUGUAUUAGCUGAUUUAAUGAAAGCCUUGAAACGAGGCAUUGUCAUGAAGAAGAAUCCACUUGAAGUCUUUGAUCGGCGGGUUAUUUCCUAUAAAGUAUUUU
ensembl:lncRNA